UUUUAUGAUUCAGUCUGAGCUUGAGGCAGUUUCGAUAUUAGUUUUGAUGUUUGUAUUUUUCUAUUUGAGAAACAGGAAAAGAGGGCAUUUGUUUAUUAGGAAUAGAGAAAUUAAUACUAAUCCCUAAAGACGAAAUGUGUUAAACCGCAUAAUAGGAGGAGGCGAUAGAAAUUGCAUUUGGGAAUUAAGGAUGAGUGUAGACGCAUUAGGAAGAUUAUGUGAGUUACUUAAAGUUCAGGGUGGAUUAAGUGAUGAUUGUUGUGUAAGUAUACCUGAGCAAGUGAUUACAUUUUUGAUAAUAUUAGCUCAUCAUAAAAAAAAUUGCACACUUCAAGUUAGAUUUUAUAGGUCAGGAGAAACAAUAAGUAGGUAUUUCAAUAAGGUGUUGUACUCGAUUAUACGUGUUCAAAGCUUAUUGUUUGCAAAGGCUGUUCCUGUCCCAGAUGACUGCAUAGAUCCCCGAUGAAAAUGGUUCAAGGGUUGUCUAGGAGCAUUAGAUGGAACAUAUAUAGAUGUGACUGUUCUUGAAGAAGAUAAAUCAAGAUACCGAACAAGAAAGGGUAAAAUAUCAACCAACGUCCUAGGCGUAUGCAAUCAAGAUAUGAAUUUUGUAUACAUACUUAGUGGAUAGGAAGGAUCUGCAUCGGAUUCAAGAGUUCUUAGAGAUGCUAUUUCACGUCGUAAUAACCUCAAGAUUCCAAUUGGGAAUUAUUAUUUAGUGGAUGCUGGUUAUACUAAUUGCAAGGGAUUUCUAGCACCAUAUAGGCAAACUCAAUAUCAUGUACAAGAAUGGGCCCAUGGAAGAAAUGCACCUAGAAACUUUCGAGUAUAUUUUAACAAGAAGCACUCUUUAACUAGGAACAUUAUUGAGCGUUGUUUUAGUUUACUUAAGAAGAGAUGGGCAAUUUUGAGGAGUCCUUAUUUCUACAAAAUUAAGACACAGAAUAGAACAAUAAUUGCAUGUUGUCUACUGCAAAAUUUUAUUCGGCUUAAUAUGGACUCCGAUCCUGAAGAGGACAUCUUACUUGAGAAUGACCACGUAAUUAUUAGAGAGGAGCAUGGUAGUAAUG